UAAUUUUCAGUUGAAAAAAGACGCUGGCAUUAUUUUAUCAGCUGAGGGCGUAUUCGCUCAUGAAAACGCCCUCAGCUUAUAAAAUUGAUUUAUUUUAAUAAGUUACUUAUUUUAAUUUAAAUAAACAUAAUACCAAGGGUCAGAAGUUUUACAAGAAUUUUGAUCGUACAAAGUCAUGACAGAGGGACUUGGUGUCUUUAUUCAUGCUUGAAAGAAGAACAUAUAUUAUUUUUUUUGAAAGGGAAUAAGCUGAUGAAGAUGACAAAUUCAGCAAAUUCAACUGUGCACCCCAGGCUAUGCCGACUGUUCUCACAGCCUACACCCUUGCCCUAACUUUAGGAGCUUCCACAGCAAUGUGUGAAAACUCAUUUUCCACGUUGAAAAACGUCUCCUCAGAGCAUCGGCGCGGUAUGCUGCACAGACGCAAGGCCCAGCUGAUUCAGCUUGCUUUUGAAAAGGACCUAACUCACAAGUUUACGUCUGAGUGGAAGGAUAUGUUGAUGAGGAGGUUCUAAUGCAAUGCUCAGCACUUUACAUAUUUGUACUACUAUUUUAAGGCAUACUAUUUUUUUACUAUUUUUCUUUUUUUAGGCAUACAAUGGCACUAAGUUAACGGUAUAGUGUAUGACGACAUGAAUGUAGUGAGUGAAAGAAAUGUUGAAUGUAUUUUCUUUAUUUAUUUAUUAUUUAUUAUGUUACCUUUUUAAAUGAGACCAGUACGUGAGUGCACUGAAUUUCGUUGUACUUCUGUCCAAUGACAAAUAAAUAUAUCCUAUCCUAUCCUAAUGGCAAUGCAUAUCUCUCUGUUAACUGCUUUUACACCUAAUAUGUUGUAUAGUCCAGUGUUUUAUGGAUAUAUAGUCAUAGCAUUGCUUCUAUGUAAUGUAUUGCUUUAAAUGAUGAGGAAUGAUGUGAUGUUGUAGGCUAUAGGCUAUAGGGUCAUAUUGCUGUUGGUUAUGUUUAACGUGAUGAUUAUGUGCUGCGCGAAUAGAGGAAAUAUACAUACUCUAGGCUAAUAAUAAUUGUGCCCCCCUAUGCAUUUGAUAUGCCCCCCUUAAGACUCAGGUCUGGCGACGGGUCUG
ensembl:lncRNA